GAAAUAAUUCAGAAUUUAAAUAAACUUUCCCUAAGAAAUUAACUGUAUCCUCCCCUAGACCACCUCCACAAUUGAUACUUAGAGUUCACAUCCUGCCUUGAACGGAAUCUACAGAAACUAAAUUUGCAUUUGUUCCCUUUCAGGGGCUUUACCAUUGUAGUAAAUUCAAAAUAAAUCUUCAGUCUUGACUUGGGCGGUUUGCUCAAACUUUUCUUUUUAUGUAGUUUCCUUCCCAAGAUCUUGCUGAACGAGAUACUCUUCACAUAUUCUUACAUUCACACUGCUUUUUCUGCUUUGCUUUCCAGGGUGGAGCUGCACUGUACUUGCCAUGGUUAGCAUGGUUCAGAUUCCAGUAUCAUUAACUGGCGGGAGAAGGGGAACAGAAGAAACUGUCCUGAUCAUAGUAUUCUUACUUUUCCUUUGUUGGAAAACUUGCUGGAUGAAUGAACACAAAGGUUGUGGAAUCCUUCUGAAAUAAUCCUGUUUAGGGACAAGGUUGACACAGAUUGACAGAAAACUUAAGAGGGAGUACAGCUCUAGAAUACGCUUCUCUGAGAAGGCAUAUUCCUAGUACUGCUAGGAAUCAUCUGCAGAAAAUUUGCAGGAUAUUUUUAUCUCAUAAAUAAUCUGUUCUUCAUAUUUUCAAGUGUAUGAUUGAUACUUUCAGAGAAAAUGAGCAAGCUACGCAUGGAUGCUGUGAGCUGGCCACAGUUGUGAGCUCUACAAAAAGGAAAACUGAAUGAUUAGAGUUCGUGUUACUGACACUGAACAGGCUGAAUUUUGGCUGCAGAUCCUGUUUAUUAUUAUUAUAAUCCCUUUCCUACUAGAGUAGGUAAAAGAGUAUUCUCAGCAACUUUGCCUUGUCAUAGAAUUAAUUUUAAAAUCAAUAAAUACUUAGAAACUGGUUGUUUUGAAACCUUCAUCUAAUAAAUGUACCUGGCAGAGGAAAAAGAGGUUAUAAUGUCAUGCUGAUCAUAGAACAACAUGCUGUGGAACAUGAGUAGAACUUGCUAAACAAAUUAAGCUUCUGGAAUGCAAAAAAUAUUCAGGUGAAAACUGCGCACCAAAUGAGAUCUGAUAUCCUCACCUGAAAAUUGCUCAUCGAAGGAGAUCUGAUAUCCAUACAGUCAUGGACACGGGUGAGAUGAGAUACUCUGAAAAACAGGAGAACAUUCCUAGUACACAUUCCCCAUUUCAGUCCAAAGCAUUUGUCUUCCACGGUCGAGUUACAGACCUUUAAAAAUAGGUUUGCAAUGGAAAUGCUGACAUGCCAGCUGGCUGUUGAUGCAAUGACACAUUCACAAUAGGCAACCCUUCAGCAGGCUUGGCGGCAGGGGACUGUAACGGUCAGCUUUGUGAAACAGGUUGAUCGAAUUUAACCAAGGAUGGCAGCAGCAAGGCAUCUUAUACCUGUUUGUUCGACGAUUGACUUCUGAGUUAAAAAA